rnacentral:rRNA from 1 species
AUGAUUUGUAUGGGUGACCUUAAUGAUAUUUUGUAUGAUAUGGAUGGUUGUAAUGGUAAUGUUAAUUAUUAUUGUAUGUCUUCUUUUCGUGCUAUGAUAAAAAGAUGUGGCUUCUUUGACAUUGAUUUUAGUGGUCCUGCUUACACUUGGCGUAAUAGGCAGCAUACUGUUAUUACAAUUUAUAGACGUAUAUUGUUUUUCCUCGUUAAUGCGAAUUGGUGUUCUCUGUAUCCCAACUCUAAGGUUCUUAACUUGCCUAUCAUCAUUAGUGACCAUGCUCCCAUUCUCAUUUCCAUAGAUGGUAGUUUUGUUAAAGCUAAGCAAUCCUUCAAAUUUGAAAAUUGGUGGUUAAUGAAGAAGGAUUAUAAUAGCUUUGCUAAAUCUGCCUGGAACAAUGUUAGGUCUGCCUCUUUUGUUGCAAAAACGACAUCUUUGGCAGGAUCUUUGAAAAAAUGGUGUAGGAAGAAGAAACCCUUCCAACAAGAAUUGAAAGAGUUGGAGUUAAGCAUUAAUCAAAUCCGAAUGCUUCCUUGGAACUAG